rnacentral:tRNA from 1 species
GCUUUAAUAGUUUAAAGAAAACAUUGGUCUUGUAAACCAAAAUUGAAUAUAUACUUCUUAAAGCU